AAAAAUUUAUAAAAUAUAAGGUUGUGUUGUGAUAUUUAUUGAUAAAAAUGUUGUAAAUUAUUAUUUAGGAAUUAAAAUUUUGUGGUUUUUUGAGGAGGAGUGGUUUAGGAUAUUUUGAGUUAGUGUUUGUGGUGAUUUUAUAUAAUGGAGUUAUAUUAAAAUGAGAGUUAGUAGUAUAUAUUUAAUAGUAGUUAAUAAAUUUAUUAGAGUAA
rnacentral:misc_RNA from 1 species